rnacentral:lncRNA from 1 species
AAUAACAUUCUUGCUUUUAGAUUUAACUGUUUAGAUGAAGUUAUCACACAGUUAUAGUAGCAGGCGCCUCAGUUUAACUUUUAACAAGGUGAGGUGACUAAGAACUUACACACGAGAGGGCUCAAAAAGCCGCUAUACUCAUCUUCUAGUGUUUGGGGAAGAUCCCAGUGAUAUAUAGUCACGAAUGGUUGUAUACCUGUUCAUUUAUAUACCCAAUUAGAGGAGAAAGAGCAGCAACAACAAGAAAUCUAGUAAUAAUUCUGCUAGUGGAGUCUGCGAGAGUAAAGUGUACGCAAACCUUACCCCCUAUCCCUAAGGGUAGAUAAAUUGUUUCGGGGAGACGCUCGGGAAUUAGAGGAGAAAGAGAAAAAGAAAAAGAUUGAGGACAAGGUAGAGAGAGAAAGAAAGUACUAUGAAUGAUUUUACAAAUAAAAGUACAAACCAUUAGAUAGAAGUUCAUUGAUGAGAUUGUUAUAAAAUGCAAUGCCUUCCUUGUUGACUCCUCCACUUAACUUGCCACCUGAAUCAAGAACAAAGUUUAAUCGAAGUAGAGGCGAUGCAAUUGGCUAAUAUUGCAAAUGUGCAGAGAAAAGCUAACUCUACUGCAAUUAUUAAUGAUCCUUUUAUUGCCAUAGUCUCUUCUAAAAUUAGUUUUUCUAUAUAAUGUACUAAAUUUGGAUUAGAAUUUCUCUAGCUUAUGGUCUCAACGCCAAGACUAGCUUGAGUUUAUCUGAAUGCUUCCUUUUGAAGCUCACCUCUUUAUAUAGAGUUGCACGUUAAACGUGUAUGGAAAGAAAUUAUAUAUUCAAAAAUCAAAGAAGAGUACGAAGAAAAUUAAUCACACGAUUUGUUUUUGACUGAGGUACGAUCCAAAAUAAGUUAUUUUUGGCUUCUUUCUUGUGAUUCAAAAUAAGUGAUUUUUUAAUAUUUCAAAAAUGAAUUAAUUAUUAUUUCCCAAUAUUAUCUAUGAAGUAAAUAAUGUUUGAAUAUGUGUUAGGAGUAUUUAUGUGAGAUAGUAAAUACGAACAUGAUUAACUUCAUUGUUAAUUAAUGUUAAAAAAUAAAUUACUUAAGCUAUGUGAAAACACCAUAAAAAAUCACUUAUUUUUGGAUCGGAGAAAAUACUUUUAAUUGGGGGAGCCAACUACUAGGGGGUUAGAUACAUGCACCCAACGAGAAGUUAGUUGGUGGCGUGGGAAAUAGCAAAGUGUUAAGAGAAAACAUAUUGUGGCCCCGCUGCCAUUGGAGUCAAAGCUAGACAUACAUGAGUUUCUUGAUAACAACUGGAUAAUUGGCUGAUUAGAUUUAAACUUUCAGUUUUUCUUGCCAAUGAGAAAGGGUAUUUCUAAAGGUCAAAAUGGUGGGCUAACCAACGAACAAUCAGUCAACUGCUAUUUCAAGAAUCCGUGUCAUUCACCGAACAAAACAUGGAACAUACCAACAGUAUCUUAUCUUUUAUACUUCCUCCGUUUUCAAUUCAUUCGAUCAUAUUUCCUUUUUUAGUUCAUAUCAAAAAGAAUAACUUCUUUUCUUGUUUAAAAGUAUUUUAUAUUUAUGCAAUAAUUUAUAAUCACAUAAAAUAUAUGUGCAUCGUUUUAUAUUACAAAUACAAAAGUCUUAUUUUUUUUUCUUAAACUCUAUACUCAGUUAUAUGAGUUCACAUAAAUUGAAACAAAAGAAGUAUAAAUAAAUAAACAAUAUAUAUAUAUAUAUGCUCUAGUCACCAUAGGUCCACUCCCCUAAUAUCUCAGACACCGCUUAGCUUUCUUUGUUCUUCAACGUAGAAACACCGACGAACUCUGUCGACCAGCUCCGGUGAAGGACAAUAAUUUUCGGUGAGGGACGACCAUUAUCGGAUAACAUACCACAAUCUCCGAGGUAGGCUUUCGAUUUUUUACCCUGUUCUAUGUUUUCUACUACUGUUCGAUUUUCGCUUUCUUCUUCCCUAGUCUGAAAAUUUAUUUCAUUGUUCCUUCUAUUUUCUUUCUUUGAUAAUAUUUCGGAUAAAUCCAUUAUUUUACUUCUGUUUUGUCUGUAUUAUGCAAUAUAUUUUGUGAUUUUAGUCUGCGAAAUUGGGGGAUUUGUUUGUUAGGUUUUGAUUUUGUGUUACAAACAAUGAGAUUUGAUGUUACUAUCGAUGUUCGAUGAUAGUAUGAUGCCAUAGUGAAUGCUCCCUAGACUAUUUUUGAUUCAUUCUCGUGAAAUAAGUAGUAUAUAUUGCUGGUAGUUUGUUACAAUUUUGCAAAGUUUGGUUUCUUUUAUUUCACUCGAUACGAGUAUUCUGAAGUUUAUUUAGCUUUUUUACUGCUGCCCUAGCUCUAUUCGUUUAUCGGUAUUUGGAUUUAUGUUUUUCUUAAUAAUUCAGAGCUUUGAAAUUGGUCAAUUUGUCGUCGAUACUUUUUUUAGCUUCCUAUGCGCUAGUUAUGUGUAAAGUAGCAGCGUCCGAUGCCAUUUCUUAGUUUCUUAUGUGGUAGUCAUAUGUAGUGUAAAUAUUAAUGUUGUUUGAAUGCUAUAUUAAUCAUGAAAGCUCCUAAAAGUCUUAUUUUUAAUGCAUUGUUAUUAAAAGCGAGCACUUCUCGCUUAAAGCACAAAAUAAAGGCUAGGCUAGGGGUCUACCCUUUUCUGCCCUGUAGCAGGUAAAUUUCUCUUCUUCUGCUUCUUCUCUUCCUCUUCUGAUUUCUCUUCUACUGUUUGACUCCUCUCAUAUUUUCUCUUUCCUUUCUAUUUUUGUUAGUUCUUUUUUAUCCUGCCUUGUUUCUCUUUUAUCUGGUAUAACCUCAGUUUUAUAAUAGUAAUUUUUUAUACACAUUUAUCUAAAGGCAAAGAUGAAGUCCAUCUAUGUAACCUAAAAAAAGGACUAUAUAAAACCACUUUUAAGUAUUGAUUGCUAAAAUUGCCUCCUUAUCCCAACUCAAAAGGGUCCCUGUUAAUAACUCUGCAUAGAUGGUCUAGUAGUCACAUAAAGUAUGAGAAGGGAGAUCCUUAUUUCAUUUUGGAAUCUAAUGGCUGCAGGUGGAUGGUCACUUUUUUUAACUCUAUGCAGUUUAAGUAUAAUUGAAGUAUGAACUAACCAGAUGGUGCACAUACAUUCUGUUUCUACCAUUCUCUUUUAGUUAGAUUGUGCUUUUUUUUCACUUUCCCAAAUUUUAGCAAGUAUUAGAAAGAAAGAAGAUUCUGAAGAUAAAUAUCCAUCCGCUGUAAUACACCACAGUUGAGACACCGAGCCACGUAAUUCAAAAUGUCCUUUUUCAUUUUCUUCCACAGUAAUGCUGUCUCAAAUCCCGAUACAUCUUCGCGGCACCCGGAUGAAUCGAAUACCGCGAGCUAUGAGACUCCUCUAAAAUCAACUCCCGGAGACCAUCCAUAUUGGGCACACAAAUUCGGCCAUGCAUUCGCAAUAUGCAAUCAUCUCUAAGGGUCACAUCUCUAGCAUCAUCAUGCUGGACCCUGACCUUCAGGACAAACAAAUGCGGGUCAUCAUACUGCCUCUCUCUGAUGCGGUAAUACAAAGAAGACUGGGAAAUCACACUCGCCAACACACGACUGGGCUCGGAAAUAUCUAACCUCACCAUCUGAUUGGACAAGGCCUGAACAUCAACGGCAAUGGGCCUCUCCCCAACUGGAUUGUAUGCCAGACUACCCAUGCUGAUAGCCUUCCAGCUCAAAGCAUCGGCCACCACAUUGGCCUUCCUGGGAUGAUACAAAAUGGUGAUAUCAUAUAAUUCUUUGAGUAACUCAAACCAUCUUCGGUGUCUCAGAUUAAGAUCCUUCUGUUUAAACAAGUGUUGAAGACAAUGGUGGUCCGUAUACACCUCACAAGAUACACCAUAAAGAUAAUGCCUCCAAAUCUUCAGGGCAUGAACAAUUGCAGCCAACUCUAAGUCAUGAACAGGGUAGUUCUUCUCUUGAGGCUUUAGCUGAUGAGAAGAAGAAGCAAUUACUCUACCCUCUGCAUCAAUACACAACCGAUCCAAAUUCUCAUCGAACUACAAAAAUGGAUCAUUCUUCUGUGUCAACUUCGUCAAAGGCAAAGCAAUAGAUGAAAAUCCCUAAAUGAACCUGCGGUAAUAAUCUGCCAAAGCCCGAAGCUGAUGGUAAUACUAAUACUGGAGCGGUGGUCAAAGCCGACUUGAGCUUUUGGAAGCUCUCCUCGCAUUCAUCUGACCACACAAAUGGAGCAUUCUUCUGAGUCAACUUCAUCAAAGGCGAAGCAAUAGAUGAGAAACCCUGAAUGAAUAUGCCAUAAUAACCCGCCAAAUCGAGGAAACUCUGAAUCUCAAUAGCUGAGGACAGUCUGGGCAAACUCUGCACCGCCUCAAUCUUCUUUGUGUCGACCUGAAUACCAUCACUGGACACCACGUGUCCUAGGAAAGUCACAGUAUUAAGCCAGAAUUCACACUUAGAGAAUUUUAUAUAAAGCUUCACCUCUCUCAAUAGCUAUAAGACCACCCUCAAGUGUUGUGCGUGCUCCUCCUGGCUACACGAAUUCACCAGAAUGUCAUCAAUAAACACAAUCACGAAAGUAUCCAAAUAAGGCCGAAAUACACUGUUCAUCAAGUGCAUGAACGCGGCUGGGACGUUAGUCAGCCCGAGACAUCACUAGAAAAUCGUAGUGCCCGUAUCUUGUCCUGAAAGUCGUCUUCAUAAUGUCUGACUCCCUAAUCUUUAGCUGAUGAUAACCUGAUCGAAGAUCAAUCUUAGAGAAUACCCUCACUCCCUGGAGCUAAUCAAAUAAGUCCUCAAUACGGGGUAGUGGGUACUUGUUCUUCACUGUCACCUUAUUCAGUUGCCUGAAGUCAAUGCACAUUCUCAUUGUGCCAUCUUUCUUCUUUACAAAUAACACCGUUUCACCCCAAGGUGACACACUCGGGCGAAUGAACCCCUUAUCCAGGAGUUUCUGAAGCUGUUCUUUCAACUCUUUUAACUCUUCUGGUGCCAUACAAUAGGGAGGAAUAGAGAUGGGCAGAGUGCUCGGCACCAGAUCAAUACCGAAGUCAAUGUCCCUGUCCGGCGGCAUGCCCGGCAAGUCCGCUGGAAACACAUAAGGGAAAUCCCUAACAAUGGGAACCGAAUCAAGGCUUGGAGCCUCGGCUUCCACAUCUCUCACGAAAACCAAAUAUGAUAAACACCCCUUGCCAACCAUCCGUUGAGCUUUUAAGAAAGAAAUCACCCUGCUAGGUACAUAGUCAGUCACGCCUCGCCACUCGAUCCUCGGAAUACCAAGAAUAGCUAGUGUAACUAUCUUAGCAUGACAAUCCAGAAUAGCAUGCUACAGAGAUAGAAAAUCCAUACACGAAAUUACAUCGAAAUCCACCAUGCCCAAUAGUAAUAAAUCAACUAGGGUCUCCAGACUCCCAGUAGUUACCAGACAGGAUCGAUAGACAUGAUCCACAAUAAUAGUAUCACCCACCGGGGUAGAUACAGGCACGGGCAAGGCAAGACAAUCAUGGGUCGUACCCAAAUGAUGAGCAAAAUAAGAGGACACAUAUGAAUAGGUAGAUCCGGGAUNNNNNNNNNNNNNNNNNNNNNNNNNNNNNNNNNNNNNNNNNNNNNNNNNNNNNNNNNNNNNNNNNNNNNNNNNNNNNNNNNNNNNNNNNNNNNNNNNNNNNNNNNNNNNNNNNNNNGUCCUGUGGAAGACUAAGAUAAUACCUGUGAUAACUACAUCCGAGGCAAUAGCGUCCCUCCGAUCUGGAAGGGCAUAGAAAUGGGCUUGGCCACCGCCAGUACGUUUCUCACACCUAGGACGACCUCUGGCUGCCUGGCCACCACCCAUGGCUGUCUGAGUGGAAGCUGAAGAAACAUGUGCCGAAGACGAGGGCUGACCCCUCUGCUGAGCAUGCUUACUACGGGGUCGAGGAGACUGCCUCCUUACAUGACCCAACUUACCAAAAUCUUAGCAACAAACUGAAGUCAGAGAAGGGUACUGAUGAGAACCCCUCGCUGCGGACGAACCCUGAGCUGAAAGAGCAGGAGCAGAGCUCUGAGCUGGAAGAGCACUCAAAACAGGCUGACUCUGCUGAUGUCCUUGAUGGCCUCGGUGUGAAGAGGCUCCACUGGACUCUGUGCGUCCGGACUGGGAAGGCCUGAAGGAACGACCUCUACCCUGCUGGAAAUGGCCCCUAGAUGGGGCGCCGCUGAAAUUACCUAAACCUCAAGGACUGUUAGCCUCUCUCUCCACACGCUCCCAGCGACGAUCUGUCUGAAUCAGACCAGCCGCAUCAACAACCUCUUCAAACGUAGCUGUUGUAGCCCUCUCUCUAGUCAUCAAUAUACGAAUCAGAUAGUUGAGGCCAUCUAUAAACCUCCUGAUUCUCUCUCUAUCUGUUAGGAUCAUCCACAUAGCUUUCCUAGCCAGCCGAGUCAACCAUAACUCAUACCGAGUCACUGACAUAUCACCCUGUCAACCACUCGAACUGACGACGCAACUUUUCCCUGUGAGACUGGGCAGAUACUUAUCCAAAAAUACCGCGGAGAACUGCUGCCAAGUGAGGGGCGCUGCCCCAAAGGCCUACGCCUCUCAAACUCUUCCCACCAAGUAAAUGCAGCUCCUGUGAACUGAAAAGUGGUAAGCCAAGUGAGGGGCUUUGCCCCCAAUGGGCCUACGCCUCUAGAACUCUUCCCACCAAGUAAAUGCGGCUCCUGUGAACUGAAAAGUGGUAAAAGCCACUCCAUUGGACUCCAGAAUACUCGUCGUGCAAAGCAUACGCUGGCAUUUAUCCAGAAAACCCUGGGCAUCCUCCUCUUCAGCACCACUAAAAGUCGGAGGCUGCAGCCUACCGAACCUCUCCAACCGUCGCUGCUCAUCAUCCGGCAUAGCUGGGAUGACAUGAACUGGAACAGGUGCGACCGACGCAGCUGGAACAGCCGGUGUAACUGGCUGAACUGGAGCAACUGGCUGAACUGGCGGAACUAGCUGAACUGGCUGAACUGGAGCUACCCCAGGUGUCUGUAUGCCCUGAACAACCUUCUCGGGAGUGCGAGCAUCGGGGGUCUGAUGACCACCCCCGAUCUGAGAAGUAGCCAUUGCUGUAGUGGUUGAAACCGCCUGAGCUAGGCCAGUUCAGACAAACAAAAUCUGGGCCAAAGCCUCCUGGAGGCCUGGAAUCACGAUGGGCACUACCGGUGCUUGAAUAGAUGUAUCUGGAGCAUCAACUGGAGGCUGAUCCUGGACCUGGGCACCUGGUGGAUCUGCAGGUGCUGCCCCUGCUGGUCCGCCUCGUCCAGCACAACGACCGCGUCCACAACCUCUAGUGGGUGGUACUGGUGGUCGUGCUCCACGUCCAUUAGCACGAUUUCUCGCCAUCUGCGAGAGAAUAGAAUACAUAAUUUUAAUUUUUCACGUUGUCAAACCGCACGAUAUGAAUUUCAAGAAAGUGAGGUUUUUCAUAAAAGUUCUGUAGCCUCCUGCUUAUAAGUGUGGUACACGACACACCUAUAAACAAGACUCUACUAAACCGGCUCAUGACUCAUGAGGCCUAGUAACCUAGCUCUGAUACCAACUUGUCACGACCCAACCCGGUCGUGAUGGCACCCAGCUCUAUGGCUAGGUAAGCUUGAGCAACAGUCGCUUUUAACGUAACAUUUAAGUCUCAAACCGAGAAGUUAACAGAAUAAUAAUCCAAGAAUACUAAUAAUGUGAUAUAGGUAAAAUACGAAAAAAUAAAAAACACACCUAAAUGAUCUAGGGAUCACGAGUCUAGAGCCUCUAAACAAAACUGAGUAAUAAUAAUAGAAUCUGAAUACCAAAACCAAAAUCUGGGAAAGUAUGUAAUAAUAAUCAACUAGAGAAAUAAUGAAGAGCAGUCAGGUCCUGCGAUACCUCAACGACUCUGAAUUAUCUCUGGAGACUACGAGAAUCAGUUAAGCCUCUGGUGUACCUGAAUCUAUACACAAGGUGCAGGGAGUAGGGGUGAGUAGUACCGACUCAGUGAAUAAUAAGUAUAGAAAAUAACUGAAGGUAAGAAAUCCACGAAAGACCACAACAAAGCUAUAACUAAAAAUCCUAUAACUUAGCUACAGGCUAACACCAUAUCAUUAUCACAACAACAACCAAGUAUCAGAUAAAGAUGCAACGCAAUGCACAUGAAUUCAUUGCGGAACGUGCAUCCCGAUCCAUUUAACAUCGACGACGCUCACUAGGGGUGUGUACAGACUCCGGAGGGGCUCAUUAAGCCCAAGUGCAAUAUCAAUAUAUAUCCACUGCGGAUCGUGCAGCCCGACCCAUGCUCAGUCCACAAUAUGCAUAUGAGUCACAUAAACAGAUUCAAUCUAAUUUCCCAUUUUCCGAUUUUAAGGUAUACAUAAUUUAAUUAUUAAGUUUCAGGAAAAGUGAUUUAGCAUUUCAUUUCGGUGAUUAAAAACAGGACUGAGAUCAAUGAUUAUACAAUCAUGUUAUCACACAUAUAUUCACCCUAGACGGGUACUACGGAUUGGCACAAGGCACCAAACAUGGCAUUAAGCCCAAUUAUCAGCAACACAAUGUGCGUAUCAGACGCCAAUAAUUUAUUCGCUCUCGGGAUUGACCAAGUCACAAUCCCCAAUCAUUUACAGCCCCGCACCUGCCAUGGGGUGCCAGUCACACAAUAACAUAGCGUCACGAUGUGAUAAACCCGGGUUUCAAACCCUCAGGCCAUCAUCUAUACAAACUACUCACCUCUAACUGGUCGUAGCCUGGUCUGCAAUGCCUUUUCCCUUCAAAUCUUCUCCAACGAGCGUCGAAUCUAUUCAAAACCACAACGAAUAGGUUACAAUAGACUAAAUAAAUAUAACCCAAUUGAAAUUAUUCAAGAAACAUUAAAAAUCACGAAGUUGGUAAAACCCGAGCUCCGGGCCCACUUCUCAAAAAAUUCUGAAAUUUGUAUAUUUAGAUUUCUCUUCUCGCCAUGAGUCCAUACAUAUAAAGUUCAUAAAAAACGGAGUCCAUUUGACCCUUCAAAUCCCCAAAAUUCGUUUCUAAAAACUAAGCCCUAGUUCUUCACAAUUUCUACAAAUUUCAUGGAAUUUCAGGUUGAUUCUUCCUAAAAAUGAUGUUUUUACGCCAAAAAACUUACCUCCAAUCGAUGCCCGCUGAAAACCCACUUCAAAUUGCUUAUAAAGCUCCCUUGGUUGCUUAACAAUGGUGGAAAAUAUGUUUGGUUCGCGGAGGAAAUAACAUAUAAAACCCUUCUGUCGCCCAGAUUUAACCCUUCACGAAUGCGGUCCAAGCCACGCGUUCGCGACGAACAAUUUCCGCUAACCCGCCAGUUGCUCUUCAUGAAUGUGGGAGCACUAUCGCGAUAACGAUGCUUCAAGUCCUUCCUUCUACGCAAACAUGGUCCAAGCCACGCGUUCGCGAUGAACAAAACCAGGCAGGGACUCCAAGCCCUUCUACGCGAACGCGUUUUCUCCCACGCGAACGCGAUGCUUCACCUUCCAACACUACGUAAAUGCGAUGCUUUCGGACAUUAAAUCUACGCGAAUGCGGCCUUCCUUCGCGAUUGCGAAGGCCAAAAUAUGCCUGCACUGCUGCUGCAUUUUCUACAGCACAUUUUCAAGUUACUACUCUCUGUUGGCCAUCCGAAUUCACCCCGAGGCCCUCGGGACCUCAACCAAAAGCACAGAUGUGUCUUAAUACUCCAUUCAAACUUCCUCACAGCAUAAAAACGCCACUAUAAACAUCAAAAUCACCCAAUUUCCACGGAUUCAAAUCUAAGUUAAACUAAAACUUCCGAAAAAAACUUGUUUUUAGCAUAAAAACGCCACCAUAAACAUCAAAAUCACCCAAUUUCCACGGAUUCAAGCCUCGGUUAAACUAAAACUUCCGAAACAUGCAUUUGCUCCAAAACCCGACCUAAAUGCCUUCGAAUGAUCUGAAAAUUUUCACACAUAUCAAAAAUCACCUAAUGGAGCUACUGCAACUAUCGGAAUUUCAUUCCGACUUCCGAAUCAAAAUAUCACCUAUCAACUGGACUUCGGCAAAUUUCUAACUUAACCAAUUCAAGCCUAAUUCUACACCAGACCUCCACAUUCAGUUCUGAUUUUGCUCCUAAGUCACAAACCACCGUCUAAAACUAGUCGGAUCAUCGGAAAUCUAUUCCGAGCCCUCUAACUCAUAUGUCAACUUUCGGUUGACUUUUCCAAACUAACUUUCUCUUAAAGAGACUAAUUGUCUCAUUUCUAUCCAAACUCCAUCCGAAUUACUGCAAACUCUCCAAAUACAUAUAUUGAAACAUAUAACAACAUAAAAGGGGAAAAACAGGUCAGAAAUACACGGGAAGAUGGGUCAGGCCGUAUAGUACUUUCCCUUGAAGCCUAGGCUUCAGAUGAUAUUCAUGUGUCCUGAAACACCUGCAGCUAUGAGAUGGCAUGCCACUAAACGAACCAAUGAUGGAAAUAUAAGACAUCCUAGUGAUGGUGAUGCUUGGAAGAAUUUCGACUCCUUUCACCCUGAAUUCUCUAACUACCCUUGUAAUAUUAGAUUGGGUCUUUCAAGUGUUGGUUUCAACCCAUUUCGAACAAUGAGCAUUUCUCAUAGCACAUGGCCUAUUAUGUUAAUGAAUUAUAAUCCUUUGCCUUGUAUUUGCAUGAAGCCAGAGUAUAUAUAAUAUUUCAAUGAUCAUCCCAGGUCCAUUAUCUCCGAAAAAUGAUAUUGUACCUACAACCACUAAUUGCUAAAUUGAAGGAACUAUGGGAAUUCGGGGUCGAAACAUUUGAUGCUAAAUCUAACCAGACGUUUCAAUUGUGUGCAGCCUUAAUAUGGACUAUUAGUGAUUUUUCUGCACCAGCAAUGCUUUCUGGAUGGAGCACAAAGGGGAAAUUUGCAUGCCCUACUUGUAAUUAUGGCACAUGCUCUCAAUAUAUCGAGCAUAGUCGUAAGAUGUGCUACAUGGUUCAUCGGCCAUAUUUGCCUCAUGAACAUCCAUUUUGAAGAGACAAGAAAUUAUUUGAUGGUAAGGAGGAUCAUAGACUUGUACCUACUCCCUUGUCGGGUACAGAAGUGCUCGAAGAUCUGCGUGAAUUCACGAAUAUCUUUGGAAAGGGCAAAAAUAAAAGAUCUUGGGAUAAUAAGGGUCCAUGGAAGAAAAUAUCCAUCUUCUUUGAAUUACCACAUUGGGAAACUAACAAAUUGAGGCACAAUCUUGAUCCAAUGCACAUUGAAAAGAAUAUAGGUGAUAGUAUUCUUGGGACAUUAUUGGAGAUAGAUGGAAAGUCAAAGGAUCAUGUAAAUUCCCGCUAUGAUUUGCAAGAAAUGGGAAUAAGAAAAUAGCUUCAACCAAUAAAAAUGGUAUAAGUGGAAUAAUUUCUUUGGCUAAAGCUUGUUUCUACAUGAAUCCAGAAGAGAAGAGACGAUUUUGCACCGUCUUUAAAGAUGCUAAAUUGCUAAAAGGGUGUUCCUCUAAUAUAUCACGUUAUGUGCAUGAGAAAGAGAUGAAAAUAUUCGGGUACAAGAGUCAUAAUGCUCAUUUUAUAAUGCAUUACUUGCUCCGAAUUACCGUUAGAAAGUCGUUACCCAAGAAAGGUUUUUUGGAAUUGAUUAGGUUGGGUAACUCUUUUAAAGCCAUAUGUGCUAACGUUAUAAGGCGAGAGGAUCUUGAUAGAUUGCAGAUAGAAAUUAAUAAUAUUAUAUGUGAGCUUGAAAUAACUUUCACUCCAACCUAUUUUGAUAUAAUGCCUCAUUUGCCUAUUCAUUUAGUAAGUAAAAUUAAACUUGGGGGUCCAACUAAUUAUCGCUGGAUGUAAUCAACAAAAAGAAACUUGUGCAAGUAUAAGGCGUUUGUUCGUAAUCGAACUCAUUCAGAAGCAUCAAUUGCAGAGGGUUUACUACCAGAAGAGUGCUUGACCUUUUGUUCGCGAUACCUACAUGAUGAGGUGAAGACAAGAUUCAGUAGGUACCAAACUGAGGAUGAUGGGGACCUUGAGGGAGCAGACUUGUCAUCUAUAUUUCCUAAAAUAGGCCAUCCAAUUGGAAGUAUGAAUAAUAGAACAGGAAAGAUUUUUACCAUGGAUUUGCAGUUAUGUUUUGAGGCACAUGGAUACGCUUUGUUCAAUACUGGAGAUGAACAAGUGGAAGCAUUUAUCAUGUAAGAUAAAAUAUAUUACCAUCACUUGUAUUAUAAGAUUAAUUUAUUUUAUGUGUUAUGAUUUUAAAUAAAUUUCAUGUUGGCCAAAUGAUUAAAUUUGAAACAUAUGGCUUGUAGGGAAUAUAAGAAUUUAAUUGAUAAUUGUACUAGAUCAAUUUCAUAGGUAAGAGCAAGAAAUCAUAGUCAGAACUUGGCGGAUUGGUUAAAAGAGAAAGUUAAAUACAUUGAUGUGCCUAAUCAUUUGAGAUGGCUAGCUAAAGGGCCAAAUACAUUGGCCAAACGAUAUAUUUGAUAUUUUAUUAAUGGUUAAUUAUUUCAUACAAUUACACGGGAUGCCCCUUUAAAGACUUAGAAUAGUGGUGUGACUUUAUUAGCCACAACUUAUAGUUUUUCUAGUGCUAGGGACCAAGAUAUUAGCGGAUUCGUUGAAUAACAUCCUCCAACCAUCAUAGGAUUUUGCAAUAUCUUCUCCUAUGAAAGAUACCUUUUCAUCAGGAAAAUACGUCUUUAAAGGUUCGUAUUCUCCUCCCACAGGAUUCUCAGUGAAGUGAUCUGCCAAGGCUUGUCCUUUGACUGCCUUCUGAGUCAUGUAAACAAUGUCGAAUUUGCUUAGCAGGAUUUGCCAUUUGGAGAGCUUGCUAGUAGGCAUGGGUUUCUGGAAGAUAUACUUUAGCAGGUCCAUUCUAGAGUUGAGAUAAGUGGUGUAGGCACAAAAAUAAUGCCUCAAUUUUUGAGCUACCCAAGUCAAAGCACAACAAGUGCGUUCUAAUAAGGAAUACCGGGCCUCGUAUAGGGUAAACGUCUUACUGAGAUAAUAUAUGGCUUGCUCCUCUCUCCUUGUUUCGUCAUGUUGUCCCAAAACACAAUCAAAUGCUCCAUCCAAUACUGCGAGAUAAAGAAAAAGGGGUCUUCCUGGUUAAGGCAGAACCAAUAUUGGUGGCGUAGACAAGUACUCCUUAAUCUUUUCAGAAGCUUUUUGAAAAUUGUCAGUCCAUUUGGUGGCGGCAUCCUUUUUCAGCAUCUUGAAGAUAGGUUCACAAAUAACAGUGGACUGAGCUAUGAACCGGNNNNNNNNNNNNNNNNNNNNNNNNNNNNNNNNNNNNNNNNNNNNNNNNNNNNNNNNNNNNNNNNNNNNNNNNNNNNNNNNNNNNNNNNNNNNNNNNNNNNNNNNNNNNUUGAGACUGAGCUAUGAACCGGCUGAUAUAGUUGAGCCUACUCAUCACAUCCUUCUUGUUCAUUAGUGGUGGCAACUUUUGAAUGGACUUGCCAUUUGAAGGAUCCAAUUCUAUCCUCAAGCAGCUCACAAUGAAACCCAGUAGUUUCCAACAGGAACCGCGAAUGCACAUUUUGCGAGAUUCUAUUUCAGAUUGUAUCUCCUCAGUCUGUUGAAGAAUUUUCUAAAGUCUUCCAUAUGAUAUGUGGAUUUCUUGGAUUUGAUGAUAAUGUCAUCCACAUACACCUCGAUUUCUUUAUAUAUUAUGUCAUGAAAGAUGGUAGUCAUGGAACUCAUGUAGGCGGCACCAACAUUCUUCAAACCAAAUGGCAUCAUUCUGUAACAGUGCAUCCCCCACGACAUGAUAAAAGCUGUUUUCUCUACAUAUUCUUCAUCCAUUCAUAUCUGAUGGUAUCCGGCGAAGCAACUGACGAGUGACUGCAGCUCAUGCUUGGCGCAAUUGUCAACUAAAAUGUGUAUGUUUGGCAAGGGGAAGUCAUCUUUAGGACUGGUCCGGUUGAGAUCCCUUUAGUCGAGACAAACUCUGACUUUUCCAUCCUUCUUCGGUACUAGCACGAUGUUGGCUUACCAUGUCAGAUACUCCACUACCCAAAAAACCUUGGCUUUGACUUGCUUGGUAACCUCUUCUUUGAUUUUCAAACUCAUGUCAGAUUUGAACUUUCUGAGCUUUUAUUUUAUUGGCGGACAUGUCAGAUCUGUUGGUAACUUGUGAGCUACAAUGGAUGUGCUGAGGCUAGUCAUAUAAUCAUUAGACCAUGCAAAUAUGUCCUCAUACUCUCUUCGGAACUCUUUCUACUCUUUCUUUUCUGAUGGCGACAAAUGCACGCUGAUACGUGUUUCCUUGACAUUCUCGGUAUCUCCCAAAUUAACAAUCUUAGUAUUGUCCAAGUUAGAUUUAGGCCUAUUCAAAAAGUAGUCGACCUCUCUGACAACUUCUUCCGGUAUAUCAUCCUCUUCUUAAUCUAUAUCUGUUUGUUGUGUUGUCUCAUUGUAAGUCACAAUUGUUGGUUCAUCAUAAAGAUAGGUAAUUGUAUUGUUGUGUAAAUAAAUUAAAUGAUAGAGAAAACAAUGAGAGCGAGAUAUAUAGUAAACUUGGAAAUUCUUUUGAUUAUUUUCGAAAUAUCGGAGCUCUUUUCAAAAGUAAAGACAAUGCGGAAAGGAAAAAUCAACUAGUAAAAAGUAAAGAUGCAAUGCAUGGUGCUUUGAUUAGCCUUGCUACCCCGAAACUUUCUGGGCCCAGGUGGUUCUGAUCAAAGAAUUAGUGAGGCGCUUCCCUCGAUGGAUGUAUGGAAGGGCCUUCCUCUCUUUCCUCCUCGAAUAUAACACAACAGUCCAUAUCUCCUUGCUACCCCAAAACGUUUUGGGACCUGGUGGUUCUGAUAGACCAAUUAGUGAGUCUCUCCCCUCGAUUCACAUCUUGUAUGGAAGUUCCUUCCUCCCCUUCCUCCUCGAAGAUAACAGAACAGUCCAUAUCAUCUUCCAAAAGUAAGUUCGUCAUUGCUGCUAAUGCUCAUCGUCCUUUGAUCCACAAAUAAUGUGAGAUGGGUGGAAAGUCUGCUCUAGACGAGGUAUAGAGUGCUCCACUUGAUAGUAUGGGCCGGGCCAUGGUGGAUACCAAUUGUUGAAAUCCUCCAACGUGUGUUUAUAUCCUAAACCAAAGGUAGUACCGUGUUUCUUUAGCUUGAUCGGCUUGGUGAUGCCUUAGAGAUUUUUACUGAGUCCUUUUCGGUGCUCAUACCCGCACAAGUUUAGGAUGCUAUCGAUCUUGUUAUCCCACCAUUUAUAUUUGUCCACAGCAUUGACAUGCUCAACGUGGUGGUACGUCUCUCCGCCUAUUCUCCUUUUACCUCCAAUCAUUGGGUUGGUCUGGCGACUGUAUAUAGGGUUGCUACCAUCGCCAUGAAUGAUAACUUCUAAGUGAUUCCAUUCGAACUUCACUUCUUGAUGUAGGGUUGAUGCCAUAGCUCCAGUGGCAUGGAUCCAGGGUCAUCCCAACAACAAAUUGUAGGAUGCAGAGACGUCUUAUCACUUGAAAAUAAACAUCGAACCAAGUUGGUCCCAUUUGCAAGCACUGUUGAUUUCCCCAAUGGUGGAUCUUUGGGACCCAUCGAAGGCUUUGACAUUGAUAGCCACAUCCUUGAUCUCAUGAAAACCUUUCCCCAUAUGUCCGAAGUGUUAUCGGUAGACAAAUGUUAAGGUUGGAUCCUCCAUAGACCAAGAUUCUAGUGAUGAAGUAAUCUUUGAAUUGCACGGUGAUGUGUAAAACCUUGUUGUGACUUAGUCCUUCCGGUAAUAACUCAUCUUCGUGGAAGGUGAUCUUGUGACUCUCCAACACUUGUCCUACCAUAUUCAACAUUUAGCCUCCAGUUAUGUUGCUGGGAACAUAAGCUUCACUCAAUAUUUUCAUCAGAGCAUUCUUGUGUGCCUCAAAGCUUUACAAAAUAGCCAAGAUGGAAAUCAAUGCUUGUAUUUUGUUCAAUUGCUCCACGACCGAGUAUUCUUUAGUUUGUAUUUUUCUCCAAAGAUCAUCUGUCCUAGCUUUAAUAGGCCAUCCAGUGGUUUGCUUGUUGGACUCAGCUAAGUAUUUUGGAGUGUAUACCUUGCCUGUUCUGGUAAUGCCCUCUGCGGCGAUCGUUUCUCAAGUUUUGUUUUCCCUUUUCUCCUAGCAUCUGUUGUGUAAUCCUAAGGUAUGGAGUUUAAUUUAAAUGGGGUCACAUCUGUCCUUGUGACCGGAAUAGGCACCCCUUGAGGUAACACAACAACUUUAAAUUGUGCAGGUGCCUUUGGAAUUCCGAACUCGACCUCAAUUGGUCUAGGUGCUUUCGUAGGAGGCGCUUCAAACUUGAGCAAUAUGGACAUAUUCACAUCAUCGCUCUCAGAGGGAUAGAUCUGGAUGAAAAUAGGGUUGAGGCUGACUGUUGGCUUUUUCGAUUCAUCCCCUUCGGCAAUCAAUCUAAUUGACCCUUUGGGAUCCCAAUCAUAUUCAAUCUCGAUCAUAUGAAUGCCUCCACCCUUGUGGUCACACAGAGGAUUGUUUCGGACAUUGGGAGCGGGCUCCUUUCCUAUAAUGACUUUAUUAUCAAUCAAGGCCUGAAUCAUAUCUUUCAACGAGCGACAAUCGUUGAUGGUAUGGCCUUUCAUUUCGAAAUGGUAUGUGCAUAUUUUGUUCGGAUUGAUCCAUUGAGAGUUUUCUGGAGUUAUGGCUAGGAUAGGCGUAAUGUAACCGCUGCUAUGAGUCUUUCAUAUUGUUGGUCCAUAGGCUCGACGAUGGCUGAAUAUUGUCUGGGGGGUCGACGGUCAAAAUUUGGUCUAGGUCGAGUAAAGGUUUUACGAGUGGGUGGUGAUUGAUAAUGAAAAGGUUGGGCAUUAUAAGCUUGGUACAUGGGUGCAGGUUGGUAAUAUCUUGGUUAAGUGGGUUGAUGUGAUUGGUAGGCGGGUGGUCGAAUUUGGUAUGUGGGUGAUGGUGCUUGGUAAUUUAGGGAAGGCUGAUAUGUGAGUGGAGUUAGAGGGAAUGUUUGGUAUUUCAUUGGGUACUUGGUUCUCUGCACAGCCAUAACAGAGUUGACAUCCUUCUUCUUUGACGUGCCACCAGAAUGUAAAGCCUUGUUGGUGGCCUAUAAUGCUUCAAGUUUGGUGACCAUACCGUUUUAAUGCCCUCUUAAAUUCUUUCUCCCAACUUGAUGAUGUUGGAGACUUUCUAACCCUCGAUCAGCAUCCACAUUUCAUAAUAUUGUGGAUCUUGAGCCCGGACAAAGAACUUGUUCAUCUGCUCCUCUUCUAAGGCCGGCCUGGCCUUAGCAGCUUCUUACCUCCAACGAGUAGCAUACUCGUGGAAUGUCUCUGUGGGUUUCUUUUUUAGAUUCUGGAUAUAGAAUACGUCCAGUGCAUUCUCUGUGUUAAAUUUAAUUGGUCCACAAAGUCGGAAGCCAUACCUACCUAGUUUGUCCAUUUCUUUGCGUCCUGACUGAUAUACCAAAAUAAGGCAUCUCCUUUUAGACUCCUCGUGAACAGCUUCAUGCGAAUUUUCUCAUCUCUUCCCACUCCAACCAAUUUAUCACACUAUGCCCUUAGAUAUACACUGGGAUCAUCUGUAGCAUCGAACAUUUCAAACCUUGAAGGUUUUUAUCCCUCCAAAAGUUUGACAUCUGGGUGAAUCCAGAGAUCCUCAUAAUACGGCCCUUCUAUACCUUUGUUUCCUUCCACGCCCUGGCCUCGGCUGGUCAACUUCUUGAGUUCUGCUGCCAAGUUUCUGAUAAGGGAGUCUUUGUUGUCUGAUUCAGAUGCACUUGAGAUCGGUUGGGUGUAGUGGGGUAUAGUGUCCACAAAGAUGGGAGAGUUGUAGAGGUUGUCGUUUGUAAUGUUUGGUGGUUUGGGAAUGAGCAGUGGAGUGUUAUUGCAUGUGUAGCAGGUUUGAGUGUGAGUGGGUUGUAUUGGUGGUUGUGGGGUGUUAUGUGGAGGUACGGAGCUUUGGGUGAUGGCAUCAGGAGCUGCAAGAGAGAAUGAUAGGCUUGCCUAGUUCCGAACUUGGUCCAAUUCCUCCUAGAAUUUCGGAAGUUUCUGUUCAAUCUUGGCAGCAGUUCCUUUAGCAAUUGGGUACCCUGGGAAGUUUCCUCCCUAUCAAUUUCCUUUCUAGCACUAGUGUCUCCCAUUUUGCCUUUGUCUUAUUUCUGAUAGGACUCGGAGGAGGAGGUGGUGGAGGGCCCUUUGAUCUUGUAGAGUAUGAUGAUGGUGCCAAAACGCACAAACUAACCUUUGGGGAGGGGAAUACAAAAUAAAAGAAAAACAAAAGGUAAAAAGUUAGUGCGGAUUCUGAGAAAGAGAAUUUUGCAAUAUUUAAACACAUUGUGCAAGAAUAUAAGUUGUGUCCUAAUUUGGGUGCUUCAUUGUGCCCGAGGUCGGCCUAGCGACAAAUUAACUUUGGAGAACUUAUAAUGCUAAUGCCUCAUUUUAUUGAUAAAAAUAAGACGAGUCUAAAAAAAAACUUAAAAUAACGGGAAAUAAAGAUGUCACUUAUGGCCAGUGGCCUUAUUACAUUAUCGUGUCCUAAUUUGGCUGCCUCAUUGUGCCCGAGGUAGGCCUUGCGACAAUAUAACUUUGGAGACCUUAUAAUGCUAAAUACCUUAUUUUAUUGAUAAAAAUAAGAUGAGUCUUAAAGACAACGGGAAAUAAAAUCUCACUAAUGGCCAGUGGCCUUAUUACAUUAUUAAAGUAGGAAAUAAAUGAUCCUAACUACUUGGUCCCGGAAAGACCUUCCCCAGAUUUGGUAUUCUAGCCUCCCUCGUACAGCUGCAUUAACUCGCGUAGUCCUAGCAGCAGAUAGGCUCAGGCCAGAUGUCCACCUCACUUUCUUCAACAUUUUGGCAGUGUUCAAUCCUUUUUAAGAACAUACCUUCAAGCUCUACUAGACCUCGUUCUAGAUACCCUAACCGCUUGUUGGCAUUAACCUUCCACUCUUCGAUCAGCUUAUGGUGAGCUUCUUGUAUCUCUCGAUGUUCGUUUUUGCAUUCUUGAAUUCUUUUGCACAAUUGAUUGUACUUAACUUGAGCUUCAACCUUUUCAUCAAUAAGCAUGUGACCUCGGAUGAACCACGGAUGACCCAAACCAGUGUGAUUAUCUUCCAACCAACCUGAGCAGUGCGGCACACAGCAUGCGUGUUGGCUCGAUAGAUUCUCUCCCCAAAACGAGUUUGCAAUGCCACAUGUGCUGAGCGUGACACCUGUGUUGGCUAUCAUCAUGGAAGUCAUCCCUGAAGUGACUCAAUUUGUUUAUUAUUGGUAUGAUUUGCUUCCUCCCAGCUUGCCUCAUGGCUCGGAGAGGGACAUAAGGAUAAAUUCCCCUCAAACUGAUGAGUAUGAGGAAUGGUGCAUCUCGAGAACGAACAUUGAACCCCUCUAUUGGAAACCACUCAUAAAUCCACUGUACUUGAUCUUCUUUUAGAUUCUCAAAUAGCUCUACCCAUCCUAGAGCGUCCUCUGGUCGGGCAAACAUGUUAGGAAUGAAGUUCAUUCCCUUUGGGUGGUGAAACGCGAUAUGAUCAUCCCAAUCUCUGCAUAUUAUUUCCUACCGGUAAUCACCUUUCUGAAGAUGUUCUAUGAGCCAGAGUUGAAGUAACAGAUUACAUCCUUCAAAGUGUUUGGCCCCUUGCUGACAUUUUUCCAAGGCUCGAUAUAUCUCGGUUACAAUCAUGGGCACUAUGCUGAAAAACUGCUCGUCAAUCCGUUCCAUCAAGAUUUGGUUGGAAUUGUUAAUGUGGUGUGGAUCCUAGCCUUCUUCAUAGGAAAGACUAUCAUCCCAAGGAAACACAAAAUGAAGACGAAAACCCUUCUGUGGAUGUGCCCUAAAGAGGUAAGGGAAAACUCAUUGGUGUAGGUGCGGUAGGACUUGCUAUGGCCAUACCUUUCGUACAAGUAGUCAAAUGGUAUGUAGGAGUCUUUCAGAGAAGUGAGACUUGGGUUUUUCUUGAGUUCCAUCAUCUUAAGAAAGCCUCUACCUUUGCUCUUAUCCGGCAUAAGCAGAUCCUGAGUCUCCCAAGGAAUACCAACUAGACCCCCUAUUUCUUCCAGUAAAGGGGUCAUUUCCAAUUCCCCGAAGCAAAACACUGACUGAUCACUAUCCCAGAACAAAGUUGCAGCCUCUAUGAUUUUGUUGUCCGGCUGAAUUUCCAGAAGUGAAGGAAAAUUCCCUAUGUAUUUGCGGACAAGGGUCUAAUUGCUGGCAUGAAGGUCCUCCUACCAGCUUAGCAGCCUUGGGUGAAUGUUGGUUACCGCACCAAAUCUGGAGACUUCGUGCCUCAUUUUCUGCAAAACAAAGGGUUAGACCCAGACUCGACUAUUUAGAUCAACAAUUAGCAUAAUAGGCAUUUAGUUCUCCAAAUAAAUGCAUAGAACAUGGACGUGUCCAUUUGGGUUUCAAGGAAACCUGAUGGACUUUUGACCAUGCUAUCUUAAUGAGUCAAUAUGGGGAUAACAUAACUAACUCGACUAGGUUUGAUCAUGAUGCAUGAACAAUUUAACAGAGUAAGGUUUCUAUAUUUUUUUUGAAGUGCUAUACUGAUACCCUCAAGCGAACAAAUCAAGAGGGAAAGGCGCGGAACCGUCAAUUACACCGUUGAUCGACGGGUUUUACUGAAAAUAUACCUUUGCCAAAUUUAGGGGGUGAUAAAAUCGGAAGAGCGCAACUACUCAUUAUUAGCGUUGCUAUAGGAUUUGUUUUCGCAUGCGUGGAGUAUGAUGUUGAAGAUGCAAUUUUGCAAGAAUGAAACAAAUUGAUGUAUUUUCACGUACAUAAGAUAAAUGAUUACAAUAAAUGCUCGAAAUCACAACAAUUUUCAAAUAAUAAAUCAGUAAAGGAAAGAAGUGAAAGGAAAGAAACGAGAUGAAAAGCCAAGUUAGUUUCAUGAUGAAAUAGUUAAAAGGCAAGAAGUAAAGGCAAUUAAAGAAAUAAUGAAGUCACAAAUAAAAUGUAAUCGUAGGAAGCCUAAUGUAUCCCCAGUGGAGUCGCCGUGCUAUCAACGCCCCCUCUUUCUUUGUACAGGAGUCCUAAAUCGGGUAUACAAUAUUAUGGGAAGACAAUUCUUAUUCCCUUGUGAGAAUUGGGUUUUGGAGUUUUGGAGAGUCGCCACCUAACGAUUAUAGUGGAUUAGGAUACUUUUGAAGGAAUAAAGAAAUUGAGAAGAAGAAACCAAAGUUUGGGUAAGGUCUUGGAGAUUAUCUCGAGGGGAAGGUGUUAGGAACCCCUCAAGAUCCACUAGUGUGGUUCCCGUUCAUGCUACAAUUGUGACUUUAGAAGAUAGAAGAAAAAAAUAAGGUUUGCACAUAGUAACUAUAAUUAAGUUUAAAGCUUUUAAUAGAAGAAAGGUAUAAACAAUUUUUCUUUUAGAAAAGGAAUUAAUCAAAAGAUAAAAAAUUAAAAGAAAACAUUGUAGAUAAAAAAAGGGAAGGGGGUUUAAACAUAAUAUCGAAUCAAUGCAAAAUCUAGAAAUCACUACCCAUAAAAGGGGUUGCACGUGAUAUUAACGCAAUGGUCAUCAUAUCCAUAUUCUACCCUUCCCACCUCGCUAAGGUAUUAAAGCGCGUUUAGUCUAUUUUACUUAUUGCAUACUACUACCCAUCCUAACAUAUCAGUCCCGGGGUAUUAGGACUUCUAAUCCUAAGAGGGAGGAAAGGGAUGAGGGCCUUUAUGGAGUUUAAAUGAUAAAAUUUUAAUUUUGAUAUUUAAAACAAGUACCAAAAAGGGGAAAACAAAACAGAUAAACAAGGCUCAAAUAAACCACUUAAAUAAGACAAACAUAUAGUUUAGCAUGUCUUGGCACAUACUGAUUUGGUCUUAGAUUAACUUAAGCAGUGAGCGUACUGGUUCAACACAUAUAUUUAGAUAUAAAGUCUGCAUUAGGGCAACUCGGAUACAAUUGGUUAGAGAUUAAGGCAUUUCAAGCGAGUUGUUUAGGCAAGUAAUGAUUUUAAAAGAUAAGCUAAUGCAGAAGAGUUUUGAAAGAAAGAACAGGCUGUAGACUUAGUUUAGAAAUGAGUUUCAAAAGGAUCGGGAGCCUGUCUAGUUAUGAGACACAUAAAUGGUUGUAAAAUAUUUUUAGGAGAGUCAAAACCUAUCUAAAGAAAAGAGUAAGCUGCAUAACUUAUUUAUACAACGUUCAGGAAUUAAGUAUAAACAAUACGUUGAGGCAGGACAUUAGAGAAGCCGUUUCAGUAAAGGGAUGCAGACUUGAAGAUUCAAUUUUAAGACAAAUGUACACUGAUUUAAGAGAGAGUUUUAUAAAAAGGUUAAAGCUUUUAAAAAUGUUACUGAAUUAGGCGUUAUAAGAACCAGUUAACCAAUUAUUACUGUUUUAAAUGGGUCAGGCACAUUUGAUGCAAGUCCUAUAAGAUAUCUACGUGAUGGAUUUUUCAGAACUGGUUAGUGAAUUUGUGAAAAAGAUGCUUGUUUAAUUAACCCUAUAGUUUGCCUAAUGAAUAUCCAUAUCCUAUAGGCAUGAUCUCUAUGUGUUUGAAUCAGGAGCAUUAAAUAACCCUAUAGCAGGAUUUCUAGUAAAAGUAAAGUCCUAAAUCAUGAUUUCUACCCUUUUUAAUGUAAGAAAGCAGAGAUCCAUCCCACACCCUUUUACUACACUACCCGAGUUUUAUACAAGUUAUUACAAACCAUAAAAAGUAUAAAAAUACAUCAAAAGCUAACAGCUAAAUCCAAGAAUCCUAAUUCAACCUUAAAGUCCGACAAUAUGUGAUUAACGAAUUCUGGGAUCCAUAUUUCCAAAACCUUCUCUUUAUCUAAAGUAUUUCAAAGUUCCAAGGAAUCUCAUGGAUUCCCGGCAUUGCAUACACCCAAGGUACCAUUAGAAUUAGAAUAGUGUAGUGUGUAAGAGCCAGCCAUCAUGCAUCCAUGUUUAGAGUGAGCUUAGGGGUCCCAAAGCAUAGCUUGGAAGACAGGGGCAGAACUUAUAGCUAAGAGUAAGUGCAAAGUGAAAAGGGAAUUGGGGAGCCAUAACAAAUGGUGGUCAUGCCUAGCCCCAAGUGUAGGCUGCACACCCUUGACCACUUGUUUGGUUAGAUAAGUUAGGAGCAAACCCUUCACAGUUAGACCAAGGUCUAGAUAGUGAUUAGGACACUAUCAGACCUAAGCCCAAGGCUCAAACACCUAAAAAGGGAAGGGGAGUGAGAAUUGGUUGAGUCAGGGAUUCAAAGAACCAGUUUAGAAUCAUAGACAGCAAUGUUAGAGUACAGUUAUGCCCUGAACCAUAACUCAUAUACAAAGGGGGUAAAUGGUAAGGGAAUUCACAUAAACAAAGUAAAUCACAUAGUGGAGGAGUAGUAUUUAAACCAAGAUGGACAUACUAGUUUCAAAGUAAUAGAAUAUCAGAAUAAUCACAGCAAGCAAACAACAGGAACAACUCAGGUUUUCAGCAGAACACUCGAAAACUCAGAGAGAACUCAAAGGUAUUUCAGAAAGAAAAAAGGAGAAGUACAAAGAACUAGUCUGUGUAUUGGAGAGAAAAAGAGAGUAGAAAGUAGAGUGCCUAUUAUUGAAUACCACUUCCUCGUUUGCUACUAUGUGUGUGUAAGAGUGCAAUUCGAAGUCUUGUUCAAGUGCAGAAGGGUAGUCCCUUUUAUAGUGCAAAAAGUAAGUAAGAAAUGUAAGAAAAUAGCCUUGAAAUAAAUCUCAUAUGAUCUCCCUCCAGUCAAGGGAUUUGAUUUCAAACGGGCAGAAUAAUUAAGGAAAGGGUUUGGUUCAGUAUCUUUCCAAAGCAGCACAGUAAGAGUAAAUACACAAAUACUUAUUUAAGGAAGAAGUCUAGUAAUACACGGUUUGUGAGAAUAAAGAAAGGAAAUCAAUCAAACAACCAGUAAAAUCAAAGUUGAAAGCUUCGUUAUAAUGAAACUAGUUAGAAAAGGGUAAUUAAAAGUUCAAUUGGGGAAAAUCUAACAAUCAGUCAGGACUCGUUAAAAGGAAAUCAGAAUCAAUUAGUGACUGCCAAAACCUUUUUUGGAAGAAGGAUUUCUCAUAUAAAAAGUAGACAAUCAAACAAAAGGGUUGUCCUAUUACUUAAAAAAAGAGUCUAGUAUUGAAAGGUUUAGGAUCACAAGCAAAGGGACACAAGUUUAGUUUGUAGACUCGUAGUUAGUUUGGGAGUCCAAGGUUCCAAAGUGGAACCCUAACUCGAAUACAAUAUCACGAUUGCCAAACAAACCUCCCCCUCCCCCCAAAUCCUAGGGUUUCGAAUCAAAUUAGAUAUAGAGAUGACAAAGCAAGUUAUUGAAAGCGAGUUUUCAAGAAACAAAAAGAUAUGAUAGCAGCUUUGAAACAACCAGGAAAUAAAACUGAUUCAAAGCAUCAACAACAUGUAUUUUUUUAAAGCCAAGCUCGGAACUUAAACAAGUUCAGAAGAGAAAGAGUGAUACAAACUUAAGAAAUAGUAGAUGAAACAUGCUUAGCAAAACUUGGACAAAGUGCAGUAAAGAAAAAAAAAUUAAAAAACUCAGCAAGAAACAUAUACAAUAGAAAUCAUGUAGGAAAAUAUAUCAGCAAUAAUUAGGCGAGCCUAGUCUAGAGGCGUAGUAAAAUACAGAAGUAUAGAAGAAUCAUGCUUAAUAGAAUGAAAGAUAGAAAAUCAAAUACAUGCCUAGCAGAGAAGAAAACAUAUGAGCCAAACAAAAACACUAAAAAAAAGAGAAACAACAAGAAUCAUAUGUUUUGAAAACACUUAAACCGUCAAAUAUAGCAUAGAUUUACCACAGAUCUAGGCAAAUAAAUGAAGAAAGAACCUCGAAUAGGCUUGGGUUUCUGAGAACCCUAAAGGACGAGAAGGCUUGGAAGUCUUCACGAACGGAUGAAACCUUCACUACAGCUUUUCCUAAUAACACCACACAAACUAAAUUGGUUUGGAUACUAGGAACAUGCAAUACAUCACUCAAUGCUAGAGUUUUACCAGAUGUGAGUUCGAGAAGGAUUUUUUCUUUCCCAAGAACACGAGCUGUUCUUGAGUCACCAAGAUAAAUAAAUUCUUCUCCUUCCUCAAUUUGGGUGUAAGAAAAAAUUUAUUUUGGUCUCCACAAAUGUGCCUUGUAGCACCAGAGUGUAUCACCUAAUUUCUCACAUUGGCCACAUUAUUCAUUUGGAAAAUGACCGCAACAAUUAUAUUAUCUGCAUUAGUCAAAUUUAAUUUUGUAUUAGCGAGAUUAUCAUUUAUCCCAAUUCUUCUAUCGCAUUGAGGUGCAUUUUUAUUGAAGGUUUUAAUAUUAGCAUUGGAUAUGUAACCAUAUCUAUUUACUUACCUGUGUUUUGACAUUAGUGUCUGCCAAGGUUGUUGAUACAAUAAAAUUGCAAUACCAGGAAUAUCUGGCAGGACAGCUGCAAUAGUAGCAGCGAAGACAUCACCAGAAUUGGUAGCACCAUCAAAAAUUUCGCAGUAGUAUUACUUGCCAUAAUUUCUUAGAUAGUAGGGAAAUAACACCGACAAAUAACAAUAAUAAUAAUAUUGCUAUAGAAUUAUUUGUAGGAAAAGUACACCAACUGGCCUGAGUCAUACUAGACAGUUUCCUAAGAAACUAUUUCAUUUGAAAAGUUGGUUUGUGUGAUUGGUUGACUUCCCGAGGGCCUCAGGUGUGUUUAGGAUACUCAACGGGAAAUGUUUUGGAGUUGGAAGAAAAUUACAGCAACUCUUCUAAUAUUCUUACUUCUCCAGUUUGGGAACCGUAGAAAUAGAGCCGCAAAACUGGCCUGGCUCAUCGCAGAAGUGAUUCGGGCAUAUUCUUCAGAGACCGGAGAAGCGGUCUAGUUUCUGCAAAGGCGGAACCGCAGAGGUGGUUCUUAUGACCGCAGAAGCUGAACUAUGAUUUAAGUCAGGAGUCGUAGAUACGGCUUGUGGUCUGCAUGUGCGAGACCGCAGAAGCAGUCCAUUGUCCGCAGAAGUGGAAAGCACUGUUCUGAAAAAGGGAAAAUCCGAGGGUUUAUUUCAAAAGUUAGAGAAAUAAGAAUUUAGCUCAGAGAAGGCGAGUUUUGGUGGAUUUUGAAGAGGAAAUCACUAGUUAAUGUUUCCUUAACCCUAUUUAGUAAUUUUCCAUCAAUAUAUAGCUAAAUACACCAUUAAAAUUCGAAUUCAAUGUCAAAAUUGGGGAAAAUUGAAUGAAACUUCUUUGACUUUAUUAUUUUGUUUUGAGUGGGCAUUUGACCUCCGAUUUGGGAUAUUUUUAUACGUUUAGACUUGUGAGAGAAGGAGGGUUCUGAAAAUGUUAAAUUCAUCCGAUUUCGAACAUUGGAUUGAGGGGCGAUUUGGUCAUUCUGCCUAAUUUUGCACUUUAGCUUUGAAUUUAAUUGUAGAAUCAGUCGCUUGAGAUGUUAUUUACAAAUUAUUACUUUGCUAAUGUAUAUCAUUGUUAUCCAAUUUACCAGGCUUAUUGACUCGCGAAAGAAUCUCGCCUUUUAAUAAAUCAAAACAACAAGUGACAUACUUUAUAUCAUGAUUAAGAGUAUAAGUACAUUAAAUGGACUAGAGAAAUUAUUUUAUAAAUUCAAUAUAAAAUACUUAUCUCUACUUGAUUCGUUUAAUACAUAGUUGAACAAAUUUGGACUAUUUGGAGUCGAGUACUCAUGGAAAGAACGUGGCUGCUAGUUGAUUUUAGCCGGUUUGAGGUAAGUAUCUUUUAUAACUUUGUGUGGGGGACUUCCCAUUAGGAUUUGAGUCUUCUCUAUUGAUUGUAUUCCGUGUACGCCAGGUGACCAGUGCGUGCUCGAAUUUAUUUGUGGUAAAUUGUCCCUUUUAGGCUCUUAGACCCUUUAAAUCCCUUAGUCUGAAGAUGAUAUUGAUACAAUUGAGUUCCAUUUGAUUAGUUUCCCAUAUAUAUGUCUUACUUGAUAUUUGUUUGCCUCUUCAUGAUUAUUCUUGCUGUUUAAUUGACUUUUACAUGUUUAACUGAAGACAAUUACCCUAAUAUAGUCCUAUUAUCCGUCUUAAUUGCUCGCCUUUAAUUGGAAAACAUAAAUGUUAUAUCUCAUAUAAUUAAUCAGCCUUAAUUGGAAAGAAGAUAUAUAUCUUAUGAUUAGUUGAUAUUUCCUUAAAUUGUGAUAAUUUGACUCAUGUUAAUUUCCUUACUGUUUGGAUACUCCUUGAUUGUAAGUUCAUCUAUGUCUUAAUGCAAAUAUAUUACAUGUCCAACUGUUGUGGUGUCGGUGUAGCUAUUACGCACUUAUUAUGUCUUGUUAUGUCGUUGUGGUUAUUAUGUUUCUCCUUGGUGUUCAGUGACCUUAUUAGGUAUUGUUUAUUCCCUUGCCGGGACAUUAUUGUUUCUGUUGUUGAUUCCCUUGCCGGGAUGUUAUUGUUUCUGUAGUUGACUCCCUUGCCGAGAUAUUGCUAUUAUAUAGUUUGGGGUUGUACAUCUAUGUUGAUUGUGUUAUAGUGUGGGAUAUCAGGAGAUCCCCAACACAUAUAUUGAGGAUACUAGGAGAUCCUCGGGAUACCAGGAGAUCCCCCAGCACAUAUAUUGAGGAUACCAGGAGAUCCUUGGGAUACCAAGAGAUCCCCAACACAUAUUUGUGGAUACCAAGAGAUUCUCAGGAUACCAAUGGAUCCCUAGUAUAUAUAUUGAGGAUACCAGGAGAUCCUCGGGAUACCAAGAGAUCCCCAGCACAUAUAUUGAGGAUAAAAAGAGAUCCUCGGGAUACCAAGAGAUUCCUGGUACAACUAUUGAGGAUACCAAGAGAUCCUCCGGACCCCAAGAGAUCCUUAGCACACAAAACUAUAUUUGAGACAACAGGACGAGAUCCUAGGAGAACAUUGUUAAACUCAUUGUGUUCUGAGCUGAUAUUUUCAUUGAUUCUAUUCGGGUGUGAAUAAUUAAGGUGUUGGUCGUUCCAUUUCUUAUAUUUACUAGUUGGUAGAAUUCUUGUUAAAUACACUUGCAUAAGCAUACACGUAGUUAUGCACUCCUAUUAGAAAUAAAUACUUUAUAAUUUUGCUAUGGGUGGAGAUACGCCGUCGUUUACCCAUUAAAUAUGUGAAAAUGGCCGUAGUUGACUAGUUAGUUGUCAUCAUGACUAUAAGAUUGAUAGGGAACAAGAUGACAAGUGUUAGAUUUCAGAUGCUGAGUUUUCAUGAGUUGUGGCUGGUCCGUGAUUUUUGGUGAAAUUGUGAAAGAGUUGAAAGGACCUUAUGUAAGUAGCAUUGCAGAAUAAUGAGCUAGUGACUUGUUUGUCUUCGCUGUGUUGUCACCUUAAGAUUCAGAUUUGGAUUCUGCCAUCGGUUGUAUCAUCAUUUGUUAUUUUCCCGUUGUUACUUGUUGCCUUCUUUUUCUCCAUAUUGUGAACCGUAGCAUUUUUAGUAGUUCAUGCGGCCUUUACAUAAUUAUAUACCAUUUACAUUUUUCCUAUGACUAUACUGUUUAUUGACCGAUACGUGUCUUGAAUGUUACUUGUCACUACUCUACCGAGGUUAGUCUUGAAACUUAGUGGGCACUGCUGUGGUGUGCUCAUGCUACUCUUCUGCACACUUUUGUUAUGCAAAUAGAGGUUUCCCCAAUUUAGUUCUGUCAGCCUUGGAGGGUGGCGUAUCAGUAUAGACUUCAAGGUAUACCAUCUACAUUCGUAGACUCCUUUCCAUAUUUCUGUAAUAAGUAUGUUCUUUUAGUAUUUCUCCUUGUAUGGUAUUCUUGAGUCAGAGCCUCUUAUGUAUCUCUUAGCUUGUGAUUUGUGAGAUUCUGGGUUUUGUGAACUUUGAUUAGUUAUGAGAGUUGUUAUUGUAUGUGCCAGGCGGCACCUUGAACACUGAUUUAUUUCACCGGCUUAGUUUUAUUUUUUUGUUCCGCAAUUUGGUUUAUAUUCCAUAUUGUUAGGCUUAUCUAGUCGUAGGGACUAGGUUCCAUCACGGCAUGUUCACAGAGGGCGAACUGGAGUCGUGACAAGUUGGUAUCAAAGCUCUAGGUUCAUAGGAGUCACAGAUCACAAGCAGGUUUAUUAGAGUCUCGUGGAUCGGUACAGAGACAUCUGUACUUAUCUGCAAAAGGCCGUGUAACCCUUAGGAAAAAAAUUUCACUAUAUUUGACUUCCCCGUCGUGCGAGAUUUUGGCAUUCACAAUCCUAAACCUCUGCCUUCCGCUCUCUCACCGAUGGCGAGGACAUGUACUACCCGAGGUGACCAGGCACCCGCGCCCCUUGCUGCAACCGUCAAAGGUCAGGGCUGGGCUAGAAUUCCAAGACGCACACGUAGUGCAGCAAGAGCACCUGCACAAACGGCCGUUGAGGUACCACCAGCAGAUCCAGCCGGAGUCUAUGACAUGCCUACAACUACUACUACUCCAGCCCUUUAGGAGACUUUGGCACAAUUCAUGAGUACGUACACAAUUUAGUUUAUUUAACCUCAUUUAGUUGUUUUCGAUCAAUCUCUAGCUAAAUACACCAUUAGAAUUCGAAUUUAAGGUCAAAAUUGGGGAAAAUUGGACGUAACUUCUUAGACUUAAUUAUUGUGUUUUGAGUGGGAAUUUGACCUCUGAUUUGGGAGAUUUUUAUAUGGUUAGACUCGUGAGAGUAAUAGGGUUCUGAUAAUUUUAAAUUCGUCCGAUUUUGAGACGUUGGACUGAGGUUCGUUGUAGCCAUUUUACCUAAUUUCGCACUUUAGUUUUGAAUAUUAUUGUAGAAUCAGUUGCCUGAGAUGUUAUUUACCAUGUGUGAUUCAAUUGAAUAGAUUUGGGCCAUUUCAAGUCAAUUACUCAUGGCAAAAAUGCGGUUGCUAGUUAAAUUUAGCCUGUUUGACGUAAGUAUCUUGCCUAACUUUGUGUGGGGGACUUCUCCUUGGGAUUUGAGUCUUCUUUGUUGAUUGUAUACCGUGCACGCGAGCUGACAAGCGUGUGCUCGGAUUUAUUUAUGGUAAAUUAUCCCUUUUAGGCUCUUAGACCCUUGAAAUCCCCAAGUGUGAAGAUGAUAUUGAUACGAUUGAGUUCCCUGUUAUUAGUUUCCCCUCUGCAUGUCGUACUUGAUAUUUGUUUGCCCUUCUUGAUUAAUGUUGCUAUUUAAUUGACUUUUGCGUGUUUAACUGAAGACAAUUACCCUUGUAUAGUCAUAUUAUCCUUCCUAACUGUUCUUCUUUAAUUGGAAAACAUAUAUGUUAUAUCUCAUGUAAAAUCAGUGUUAAUUGGAAAGAAGAUAAAUUUCUUACGGUUAGUUGAUAUUUCCUUAAAUUGUGAUUAUUUCAUUCAUAUUAAUUUCCUUACUAUUUGGAUACUCCUUGAUUGUAAGUUCAUUUGUGACUUCGUGCAAAUAUAUUAGAUGUCCAACUGUUGUGGUAUCCGUGUAGCUAUUACGCACUUAUUAUGUCUUGUUAUGUCGUUGUGGUUAUUAUGCUUCUCCUUGGUGUUCAGUGACCUUAUUAGGUAUUGUUGAUUCCCUUGCCGGGACAUUAUUGUUUCUGUUGUUGAUCCCUUGCCGGGACGUUAUUGUUUUUGUUGUUGACUCCCUUGCCAGGACGUUAUUGUUUCUAUUGUUGACUCUCUUGCCAUGAUAUUGCUAUUCUAUAUUUUGGGCUAUACAUCUAUUUUGAUUGUGUUGUAGUGCGGGAUACCAGGAGAUCCCGAGCACAUAUGUUGAGCAUAUAUGUUAUAUUAUCCUUCCUAACUGCUCUUCUUUAAUUGGAAAACAUAUAUGUUAUAUCUCAUGUAAAAUCAGUGUUAAUUGGAAAGAAGAUAAAUUUCUUACGGUUAGUUGAUAUUUCCUUAAAUUGUGAUUAUUUCAUUCAUAUUAAUUUCCUUACUAUUUGGAUACUCCUUGAUUGUAAGUUCAUUUGUGACUUCGUGCAAAUAUAUUAGAUGUCCAACUGUUGUGGUAUCCGUGUAGCUAUUACGCACUUAUUAUGUCUUGUUAUGUCGUUGUGGUUAUUAUGCUUCUCCUUGGUGUUCAGUGACCUUAUUAGGUAUUGUUGAUUCCCUUGCCGGGACAUUAUUGUUUCUGUUGUUGAUCCCUUGCCGGGACGUUAUUGUUUUUGUUGUUGACUCCCUUGCCAGGACGUUAUUGUUUCUAUUGUUGACUCUCUUGCCAUGAUAUUGCUAUUCUAUAUUUUGGGCUAUACAUCUAUUUUGAUUGUGUUGUAGUGCGGGAUACCAGGAGAUCCCGAGCACAUAUGUUGAGCAUAUAUGUUAUAUUAUCCUUCCUAACUGCUCUUCUUUAAUUGGAAAACAUAUAUGUUAUAUCUCAUGUAAAAUCAGUGUUAAUUGGAAAGAAGAUAAAUUUCUUACGGUUAGUUGAUAUUUCCUUAAAUUGUGAUUAUUUCAUUCAUAUUAAUUUCCUUACUAUUUGGAUACUCCUUGAUUGUAAGUUCAUUUGUGACUUCGUGCAAAUAUAUUAGAUGUCCAACUGUUGUGGUAUCCGUGUAGCUAUUACGCACUUAUUAUGUCUUGUUAUGUCGUUGUGGUUAUUAUGCUUCUCCUUGGUGUUCAGUGACCUUAUUAGGUAUUGUUGAUUCCCUUGCCGGGACAUUAUUGUUUCUGUUGUUGAUCCCUUGCCGGGACGUUAUUGUUUUUGUUGUUGACUCCCUUGCCAGGACGUUAUUGUUUCUAUUGUUGACUCUCUUGCCAUGAUAUUGCUAUUCUAUAUUUUGGGCUAUACAUCUAUUUUGAUUGUGUUGUAGUGCGGGAUACCAGGAGAUCCCGAGCACAUAUGUUGAGCAUAUAUGUUGUAGGAGAUCUUCAGGAUAAUAGGAGAUCCCCAGCACAUACAUUGAGGAUACAGAAGAUCCCCAGCACAUAUAUUGAGGAUACCAAGAGAUCCCCGGGAUACCAAGAGAUCCACAGUACAUCUAUUGAGGAUACCAAGAGAUCCCUAGUAUAUAUAUUGAGGAUACCAGAAGAUCCUCGGGAUACCAAGAGAUCCCCAGCACAUAUAUUGAGGAUACCAAAAGAUACUCGGGAUACCAAAAGAUCCCUAGUACAGCUAUUGAGGAUACCAAGAGAUCCCUUGCACACAUAGCUAUGUUUGAGACUAACAAGACAAGAUACUGGGAGACCCCCGUUAAACUCAUUGUGUUCUGAACUGAUAUUUUCAUUGAUUCAUCUGGGUGCGUAUAAUUCGGGUGCUGGUCGUUCCAUUUCUUGUAUUUACUAGUUUGUAGAAUUCUUGUUAAAUACCCUUGCAAAAGCAUACACGUAGUUGGACACUCUUAUUAGAAAUGAAUUCUUUCUUAUUUGGCUAGGGGUGCAGAUACGUCCUUGUUUACGUAUUAAAUAUGUGAAAGUGGCCCUAGUUGACUAGUUAGUUGUCAGCAUGACCGUGACAACUAAAAUUUCUCAUAUAAGUUAGGAGAUAUAUAUAAACUCAUUAUCUGAUAAAAUUUCUCAUAAAACCAUUGAAACAAACAAUGAAACUACCUCUAACGAGGAACUGAGAAUGAGCAAAAAGCCUAGAAAAAAAUAUUUUUCUAAUGGAAAUGAUUUUCA